rnacentral:rRNA from 1 species
GAUGAACGCUAGCGGGAGGCCUAACACAUGCAAGCCGAGCGGUAGAUCUUCUUCGGAAGAUUGAGAGCGGCGCACGGGUGCGGGACACGUGUGCAACCUGCCUUUAUCUGGAAGAUAGCACACCGAAAGGUGGAUUAAUAUUCCAUAAUAUAUUGAUUGGCAUCAGUUAAUAUUGAAAGCUCCGGCGGAUAAAGAUGGGCACGCGCAAGAUUAGAUAGUUGGUGAGGUAACGGCUCACCAAGUCUGCGAUCUUUAGGGGGCCUGAGAGGGUGAUCCGCCAAACUGGUACUGAGACACGGACCAGACUCCUACGGGAGGCAGCAGUGAGGAAUAUUGGACAAUGGGUGCAAGCCUGAUCAAGCCAUCCCGCGUGAAGGAUUAAGGUCCUAUGGAUUGUAAACUUCUUUUCUACAGGGAUAAACCUAUUUACGUGUAAAUAGCUGAAGGUACUGUAGGAAUAAGCACCGGCUAACUCCGUGCCAGCCGCCGCAGUAAGAC